UACAUGGGGUGCAAACGUUGCUCGGAAUUAUUGGGCGUAAAGCGCACGUAGGCGGUCUGUUAUGUCGGACGUGAAAUCCCCCGGCUCAACCGGGGAAGUGCAUCCGAAACUGGCAGGCUUGAGUACGAAAGAGGGUCGCGGAAUUCCCGGUGUAGAGGUGAAAUUCGUAGAUAUCGGGAGGAACACCAGUGGCGAAGGCGGCUUGCCAGAACGCGCUCGACGGUGAGGGAUGAAAGCUGGGGGAGCAAACCGG
rnacentral:rRNA from 1 species